AAUGAAGGCUGGCGGCAGGCCUAACACAUGCAAGUCGAACGAGGCAGCAAUGCCUAGUGGCGGACGGGUGAGUAACGCGUGGGAACGUGCCCCUUGGUACGGAAUAGCCCUGGGAAACUGGGAGUAAUACCGUAUGUGGUCGAGAGACGAAAGAUUUAUCGCCAAGGGAUCGGCCCGCGUUGGAUUAGGUAGUUGGUGGGGUAAUGGCCUACCAAGCCGACGAUCCAUAGCUGUUUGAGAGGAUGAUCAGCCACACUGGGACUGAGACACGGCCCAGACUCCUACGGGAGGCAGCAGUGGGGAAUCUUAGACAAUGGAGGAAACCCUGAUCUAGCCAUGCCGCGUGAUCGAUGAAGGCCUUAGGGUUGUAAAGAUCUUUCAGUGGGGAAGAUAAUGACGGUACCCACAGAAGAAGCCCCGGCUAACUCCGUGCAGCCGCCGCUGUAA
rnacentral:rRNA from 1 species